UUGGAGGGCAAGUCUGGUGCCAGCAGCCGCGGUAAUUCCAGCUCCAAUAGCGUAUAUUAAAGUUGUUGCAGUUAAGAAGCUCGUAGUUGAACUUUGGGGUUUACCCAUUGGUCAGGCUUAAUUGUCUGUACUGGUGAGAUAAAUCUCUACCUUCUGAGGAACUUUCAUGCCAUUUAGUUGGUGUGAUAGGAAAUCAGGACUGUUACUUUGAAAAAAUUAGAGUGUUUAAAGCAGGCUAACGUCUGAAUACAUUAGCAUGGAAUAAUGAAAUAGGACGGAUUGGUUCUAUUUCGUUGGUUUCUAGGAUCACCGUAAUGAUUAAUAGGGAUAGUUGGGGGCAUUAGUAUUCAAUUGUCAGAGGUGAAAUUCUUGGAUUUAUUGAAGACUAACUAUUGCGAAAGCAUUUGCCAAGGAUGUUUUCAUUAAUCAAGAACGAAAGUUAGGGGAUCGAAGACGAUCAGAUACCGUCGUAGUCUUAACCAUAAACUAUGCCGACUAGGAAUCGGACGAAGUUAAUUUUAUAAUGACGCGUUCGGCGCCUUACGGGAAAC
rnacentral:rRNA from 1 species